UACGUAGGGGGCAAGCGUUGUUCGGAAUUACUGGGCGUAAAGCGCGCGUAGGCGGUUUGGAAAGUCAGAUGUGAAAGCCCCGGGCUCAACUUGGGAACUGCAUUUGAUACUGCCAGACUAGAGUACAGAAGGGGUGACUGGAAUUCCCAGUGUAGCGGUGAAAUGCGUAGAUAUUGGGAGGAACACCAGAUGCGAAGGCGGGUCACUGGGCUGAUACUGACGCUGAUGCGCGAAAGCCAGGGGAGCGAACGGG
rnacentral:rRNA from 1 species